GUGUCCAACCUCAGCGACGACGCCAGCCUGCCCGACGCAGCUCCUGGCCGCGGCGGCCUAGAACGCCGAGGUAUAGAAGCCUGCUCCGGCUGCCAAGCUACCGCCCAACCUGCUCUGGGGGUUCCAUAUGAUACAAGACUCAAAGGUCUAGAUGAUGACAGAGGAACCAAAGGUCUAACACAGGAUGCUUCAAAGUCUCAUUUUAAAAGGUCAACAGGUUGAUGUUCUUUUUCAUAUCCCAUCUUGUCGGUCUGAUAUUUGAAAUAUCACAGAAUUAUUGUUCAGAUGCACCUGUUAUCUAAAUUAGUUCCUGCUGACACAUUCAGGCAGUACAAGUUUCACAAUAAAUCUAAUUCCACACAUACAGCCAAUCUGUAGAUUAAUUUGGCACUGACGUUCGAUUAAGUUGAUUCCAGUGUAACAAUGAAAAACUUCUGGAGAACUCA